rnacentral:rRNA from 1 species
GUCCUACGGGAGGCAGCAGUGGGGAAUAUUGCACAAUGGGGGAAACCCUGAUGCAGCGACGCCGCGUGAGUGAAGAAGUAUUUCGGUAUGUAAAGCUCUAUCAGCAGGGAAGAAAUACUGACCUUACGGUCAGCAGACGGUACCUGACUAAGAAGCCCCGGCUAACUACGUGCCAGCAGCCGCGGUAAUACGUAGGGGGCAAGCGUUAUCCGGAUUUACUGGGUGUAAAGGGAGCGUAGACGGUUAUGCAAGUCUGAAGUGAAAGCCCAAGGCUCAACAAUGGGACUGCUUUGGAAACUGAAAAA